rnacentral:rRNA from 1 species
AUUGAACGCUGGCGGCAGGCCUAACACAUGCAAGUCGAACGAGUGGCGGACGGGUGAGUAAUGUCUGGGAAACUGCCUGAUGGAGGGGGAUAACUAAUGGAAACGGUAGCUAAUACCGCAUACCCUCAGAUGUGCCCAGAUGGGAAUAGCUUGUUGGUGGGGUAACGGCUCACCAAGGCGACGAGCCCUAGCUGGUCUGAGAGGAUGACAUGCUACACGGGAACUUAGACACGGUCAAUACUCCUACGGGAGGCAGCAGUUGGUAAUAUUGCACAAUGGGCGCAAGCAUGAUGCAGCCAUGCCGCGUGUAUGAAGAAGGCCUUCGGGUUGUAAAGUACUUUCAGCGGGGAGGCGUUACCCGCAGAAGAAGCACCGGCUAACUCCGUGCCAGCAGCCGCGGGAAUAC